GCCUCUGAGUCUGCUUUAAGCUUUUAAGCAUCUGGCUGUUAACCAGAAGGUUGGUGGUUCGAGCCCACCCAGGGGAGCU